rnacentral:rRNA from 1 species
CCCGUCACACUAUGGGAGCUGGCCAGGCCCGAAGUCGUUACCUUAACCGCAAGGGGGGGGAUGCCGAAGGCAGGGCUAGUGACUGGAGUGAAGUCGUAACAAGGUAGCCGUACUGGAAGGUGCGGCUGGAUCACCUCCUUU